rnacentral:rRNA from 1 species
AACGAACGCUGGCGGCGUGUUUAAGACAUGCAAGUCGCACGGGAUAAGACAUGUAGUAAUACUUGUUUUAUUUAGUGGCGCACGGGUAAGUAACACGUGAAUUACAUGCCCUAUAGUGGGGAAUAGCCCAGGGAAACUUGGAUUAAUACCCCAUGGUAUCGAAAGAUUAAAGGUGGCCGCAAGGCUGUCGCUAUAGGAUUGGUUCGCGCCCUAUCAGCUUGUUGGUGAGGUAACGGCUCACCAAGGCAAUGACGGGUACCUGGUCUGAGAGGACGAUCAGGCACACUGGAACUGAGACACGGUCCAGACACCUACGGGUGGCAGCAGUCGAGAAUAAUUCACAAUGGGGGCAACCCUGAUGGUGCAACGCCGCGUGGAGGAUGACGGUCUUCGGAUUGUAAACUCCUGUCAUCUGGGAGAAAGACCUGACGGUAAAUAGCCGGCAGGGUUGAUAGUACCAGAAGGGGAAGGGACGGCUAACUUCGUGCCAGCAGCCGCCGUAA